rnacentral:lncRNA from 1 species
ACUAGUGUCAGAGUCAAAGUGACAUUUUCAGACAUGAAAGUACGCUGUCAGAUCCAGGAACGUUGUGCAAGAAAUGAAUUGGUACAGAAAGAGUCUUACCUCCAGUAUUAGUGCCUCGUCAUAAUGAAUUCAAUCCACAACACAGCCUUCUGGUUCA